GAUGACUGUGCGUCUGGUCCAUGUGACUCUGUUAGCAUGACUAGAUCCACACUCAUCCA
rnacentral:pre_miRNA from 1 species